rnacentral:lncRNA from 1 species
AAUGAGAAUCAAAACAUGAAGGAGGGUGAGUGUCAUUUGUGACAAGGAGGAUAGAAUUGUGUAGUUUCUACAAUAACUGCUUCAGUGAGUUCAAAGAAGAUAUCAUGUGGACACUUGGAUUUCCCAAGCACUUAUAUUCCUCAUUAACAGAACUAGAUUGUGGACAUGAAUGUUGCUAAUUAAAUCACUCCCCCAUCCAUAUAUGUAUGUAUGUAUGUAUAUUUUUGGGUAAAUCACUCAUACCAAAUAGAUUUGGGAGUUUGUGUCUUGCACAGUUUAUUUUGCUUUUGAAUAUUAAUUCAAUCAUGUCUAAAUAUAAACACAACUUCAGUUCAAAGAACACAGUAGUAGUUGUGUGCACAUGUAUCUGUUUGAAUAUUAUCAUGAUUUGAUAUUAUACCUUUGUAGUUUCAAAAUAUUUGGUAUUUUGAAUGUGCCAUUUGGGUGUUAAUAUUUUCAAAAUAUUAUGGUUGUUCCAAAGCCUUGGGUAUAUUUUGAUGGUUUCUUUUUUUUCCCAAUUGGUGCUCUUGACUGCUCCUGGGGCAGUGAAGCAUUUUGAACCACCCCAAUUAUAGGCACACUGUGCCUAAAGAUGGCUCAGAACAAUCUCAUUAAAUGCUACUCAGAGGCUCAAGAUCCACAUGUAACCUUUUCUCCAAAUUAGCAAAUCCUACAAAAUUGGCUCAACAACAGUCAGAUUCUGGGAGCAUUUGCCAAGGUCUACAACAAAGUUGCAAGAAGAACAAUUUUAAAAUUAACAAAAAUUUAAAAGAAUACUGAUAAUAAUUUCAUUGGCUGUGGUGGUUGGUGACACCCAAACUCAAAUCUCUUGCAAAAGUAUCUUCCGGAAGAAGAAAAUCCCAACAGUGAUUUGAAACACCACUUUUUGAUGUGACAAAAAACAAAAUAGGAAUCAGCAGCCUAUUGCAACGUAAAAGUAGAAGAUCAUUCUCUGCAAAACUUAAAACCAAAGAUUGUUGUCUGAGGUUUUGUGUUGACUUCAACCCAGUUGUUGUUACAACUUCUCCCCCAUAUCAAAUCUCACUAAUUUGUUGCCUAUUUUCAAUACAACCUGAACAGCUUUGACGACUAGGGUUUUGAAUGGGGGGCUUUGGAGCAUCCUUGGGAAUAGUUCAGCAGUUGCCAUAAUGUGGCCCAAAUGACUGCAGCCCAAUCUCUCA